CCAGCCAGGAAGGAGGAGGCAGCCAGAGAGGCCUCCACUGUUCUCUGCAGCAGAAGACCCCCUGCUGCCAGGAGGCUGAGAACAAGUCAGUGUCCCCAGACUUGCUGCAUCUAUAGUGAAUAUCAAUCUUUCAGACAUUGUGCAUGAAGGUAGUGACAGCACUGGAUCAACAGAGAAGUGUCACAUCGUAAGAAAAGAGGGGAUGUAUGUUCCAGACAGACGGAUGAAGAAGCUGGGGGGGAAAUCAGGCAUGAACUUCUAAGCCUUUGGGCCAGCCUGAACGCAUACAGGGCAUGUUUAUUCUGACUGAACAUUUUUGAAUGGAAGUAUAAUUUGAUCGUUGGUGUUUUUACAGUAAAGGUUUAUAUUUUGCAGGAAAGGUGGCUCUAAAAGAAGAGGUACAGUUUGUAGAUAUAACUGCAGUUGUGCCCCCAACAAAUAUUCAUUUCUUCAACAAGCAAGUGUCCUCCUAAGCAUCCUCCUAAGUGUCCUCUCUAACCUGCUCCAAAGUCAGCCCCGCGGUGUUCAGAAGAACUACGGGAGCUGAAGCGGUUAAGAGUGCAAGUGGAGGAAGACUCAGCAUGGAUCUGACAGAUUACAACACAGAGCACAUUUGAAGCGCUAUACUCUGGCAGUGCAAGCAGCAAUGAAGCAGUUCUUUUCUGCCUGCAUUGCUUCUGCAGAUUCACGUCCAGCUGAAUGUGAACAUCACAACCAGUCUAGGGUUGUGAGGGAGCUAGUUUAUGCCCCAUCCCCCUUGAAUUUGAACGUGGAGCCAUCAGUCACUCGCUGUGACGCUUCCAAUGACUUUUUUGCAGAUAAAAUCUCUCAUAUUCGGGCUGAACUGGAUUCCAGAGUCCAAUGUGGAGAGGUAAUCAGCUAUUCCUGGAUAUCUCCAGGAUACUAUUACUGCCAAGUCCAAUGUGGAGGUAUCCAGCUGUUCUUCUUAUAUUGUUAUAUUGGAUCACAUUCAGUUUGUGACUCCUGAGGAUGUGGACAAACCGCUUUGGAUUGUGCAUCCCAGCCCUACAACCUGUUCUCUUGAUCCUUUCCCAACUUGGCUUAUUUCAUCUGGUAAUCAGAGAGGGUCUGGUAAAUAUCAUAAAUGCUUCUCUGAGUGAGGGCAGGAUGCCUCCUUGUCUUAAGGAGGCUAUUAUUAGACUUUAUUUGAAGAAACCUGCAUUGGACCCCUCAGAGCUGGCAAAUUACAGACCUGUUUCUAAUCUUCCAUGGUUGGGCAAGGUGGUUGACCAGAUGGUGGCCUCUCAGCUCCAGGCAGUUUGGGAUGAUACAGAUUAUCUAGACCCAUUUCAAACUGGCUUCCAAGUAGGCUAUGGGGCUGAGACUGCCCUGGUCAGCCUGAUGGAUGAUCUCCAAUUGGCUAUUGACUGAGGGAUCUCUUGGUGGCUUUCGAUACAAUCGACCAUGAUAUCCUUCUGGGUUGCUUGAGGGAGGUGGGAUUGGGUGGCACUGUUUUACAGCAGUACCAUUCAAUACCAUCGACCAUGAUAUCCUUCUGGGUUGCUUGAGGGAGGUGGGAUUGGGUGGCACUGUUUUACAGCAGUACCAUAACAGAUUAUGUCUCUUAGAGACUGCUGCUCUGCAAAGCAGGAGCUAAAGUGUGUGGAUCCACAAGGUUCUAUACUAUAGCCAAUGCUUUUUAACAUCUAUUCUACACGAAAAUGCUGAGAGAGAUCAUCAGGGGUUUUGGUGUUAUCAAUAUGCUGAUGACACCCAGAUGUAUUUCUCCAUAUCAACUUCAUCAGGAAAUGGCAUAACCCAAAUUGCCUGCUUGGAGGAGGUAAUGGGCUGGAUGAGGGAUAACAAACUGAAGUUGAAUCCAAAGAAGACAUAGUUACUGACUGUGGGGAGUUAGGACCCGAGAGAUGGUUUAGAACUGCCUGUUCUGGGUGGGGUUACACUCUCCCUGAAAGAUCAGGUACAUAACUAGGAAGUGCUCCUGGAUCCCAAACUCUGUGGUUUCUCAGCUUGAGGCAGUGGCCAGGAACACUUUUUUUCAGCUUUAGCCAAUAUGUCAGCUACAUCCAUUUCUGGAGGUAAAUGACCUUUAAACAGUAGUACAUAUGUUGGUAACCUCCUGUAAUGCACUCUGUGUGACGCUGCCUUUGUAUGUGGCCUAGAAACUACAAUUGGUACAGAAUGCGACAGCCAGAUCGGUCUCUGGGACGACCCGAAGGGACCACAUAAAACCGAUUUUGAAAGAAUUUUACUGGCUGCUGCUAUGUUUCCAUGUGAAAAACAAAGUGCUGGUUAUUACCUAUAAAGCCCUUAACAGCUUGGGUCCAGGGUACUUAAGAGAGUGCCUUCUUUGUCAUGAACCCUGUUGCCUAUUAAGAUCAUCUGGAGAUCCAUUUGUUUGGGACUUGGGGCCAGGACUUCUCCGUGUCUGUCCUGGGGCUUUGGAAUAUGCUCCCUGUUGAAAUCAGAGCACCUCCUUCUCUGUUUGUUUUUUGGAGAAACCCUUAAGAUGUACCAGUUUUCUCCAGCUUUUAACUGAAAAUUUUUAAUUAUGUAAUGUGUUUUUAUCUUUGAGCUUGUUUCAUUUGUUUCAUGAAUUUUAACUGUUUUAUACUGUUUUUACAUUGGUUGUGUUUUUCAAAAUAUGUACACUACCUAGAAAUGUAUAUAUCAGGAGGUAUAGAAAGAGGAAAAUACCAAUUCCAGGCAUCCCCCUCUCAAAGUGUUAAAAUUAGAAUUUAAUUUUUAUUUUAUUUCUAACAUUUAUUUUGUGCUCUUUCUCCAAGGCCCAGGGCAGUGUAAAUAGUUGUGUUGGACAGAGCUGUAAUUGUAUGCAUGGCGCUGUCCACCCAGCAUCUCUUUUCUCCCCACUGAAUUCAGGGUGCCCCUUUCCCACCCACUGAGUGUGUGCGAGGUACCAGCAGUGGUGGCAGUGGCAGCAGCUGUGAUGGCAGCUGUGGCAGCAGCCUGGGGUAGGUUUCCCUGCCCCACCGCUUAGCUGGUUGCUAUGCAUGCAUGACAGACAGCUGAGUGGAAGGCAAGGCACUCAGCUGCCAUGCCAACCACUCAAAUAGCCACUGCGUAUGUGUGGCUGCCCACUGAGUGGCAGGGCAGAGCAGCCUACCCUGGGCUGCUCUGUGAAGGAAGCUGCCACCACUGCCAACACUGUGCACACACAGUAGGGAGAGAAGUUAGGGUUGCCAUAUACAAGCUCCCCAAAUCCGGGUGGCCUAAUUUGCAUAGUAUGCAAAUUAUGUAGCAACUAAUUUGCAUUUUUUUAAAAAAAUUAUCCCAUAUGUGCAUCAGGGAGAGAGAGGGUGCCUGGGGGCCCACCACUGGGUGGGGGGCGGGUAGGUGGCUUGAACAAGGACCGCCUAUGUCCUCCCUCUGCCACUAUGUUCAUAACUACUCUCUCAGUGAAUGUCCGCUCUUGGAUAUUUGUGGCUGCUUAAAAAAAAUAAUGAAAGAUUUUCGAUUUGUUCAGGCUUUUACCCCUUAGGGGCUGCUGGGUCUCUCAGCUUUCCUGCUUCUGUUUCCUGUUUUUCUGGUGGAUUUUUCUGGUGUUUUAUCAUUUUUUAUUGUUUAAUUGAUUUUAAGGUAUUAAAUGUGAUUUUUUAAAUGGAA